AGACAUCUGCAUACAAACCAUGUUUGUUUACGCACCCUUAAUUUGCAUAUGAGACAUUUUUGUAUGAUUCACAGAGACACACAUUACCGGUGCUCCUGGAGUUACUCCAGCGGCAGGGAAGCCUGGUCUGGUCAUUGGCACCAUAGGUGCUCCGGCAGCUGGUGCCCCAGCCUUUAAUAGAACAAGAAGGAAGACCAGAAAGGCAAUAAGAUUACAUGUUUAUCAUACGGUGGUUGUGAGAGGGACACCCUAAAGGGGCUGAUUGUUCAUCAGCAUCCAGUAAUGUCCAGAUGGAUCAUUACUAGACUGGACUGGAGUGGUCGUCUUACCAUGGUGAAGCUGGGGUACAUCCCCAUAAAAGGAGCAGCACCCAUGGGCAUGGUCUAAAGGUAUGGAGGGGAGGGGUGGAGAGCAGGAGUUGGGAUGUUACUAGACUACAUAUAACACAAACAGAUGCAAAAAAAAUCCCAAUAAAACUAAAUGAAUAAAAGUCAAACACAAACAUAAUGGUAAAGACAGAUAGUAGACACUGGCACAUGAAACAUCAGGACAGGCCACGAAACAAAAGCCUUACUUCAGGAGUAAGGCCACUCUUUUUGACACAUGCAUGGAGAUUAAGAGGGCAGGAAGGAAGCUCGUAGCCUUCAGAUGAAUGUUUUUGUCCUGUUUUUACCAAAAACAAAAGGGUGUUGCUAAAAAGGAAGAACUACUUGUCUUAACUCUAUCAGGCUUCUCUAAAAGAAAAUAAGAAGUUGUUUCCAAGCAACAGCUUCUUAGUAUAGAAGGCUUAUUUGCCAUUUCAUCACUCUCCAGUAAAGAGACAUUUGUUUUUCACUGUUUUUGUUUAUUAUCCAAGGUGUAUGACAUUAUGCGUAUUCUUGCAUUGCUCACUGACACGUCUUGUCUCGUUGGUUACUGGAGAACCAAAUGAAGGCAACACUUAAAGAAUGCUGCUGUUGGAAGGCCCUGUCUGCCAUGCGGCUCCACUCCAUGCUAUAAGACACAGACAACAUUUACCAUGGGAGCACCCCAACUGGGGGGAGCUACCUGAGGGGCCGCUGGAGUUCCCAUUGUGAGAUCUUAGAGAAAGAGAGAAAAAAGAGGGACAGCUUUUGCAAAAUCAUUGCUUCCAAAUAUAAGGAUACAAGACUGGAUCAAAAUGUUCUUGUUUUGCACUUUGAGAAAUGCACGUUUGUGAUUUUUCACCAAGUCUAAGACUAAAACUUUAAAAGUUUACGGGUUGAACUGAAAUUUUUUUAACUUUAGUUAAAAAUACUGAAACAAAAACGACAAAGACAAACAAAAAAGGAGUCAAAGCAAUAUCUGGUGUGACACAAAUAGUCUUUCUUCCAGGGACAAUUGCACACAGUUGUUCAUGGAAUUUAACAGGAAGGUGGCUCCCAACGUCUUAACUCUUAUGUGGAUGCUGGUUGGCUCAAGUACUUCUGUCUCUUUACAUUAUCCCACAGACACUCAUUGAUGCUGAGAUCUGGGCUCUGAAUUAAGUUCUUAAGACACUAUUGGGGUGGAAUGUAUAGGGGAUUACCCAAAUUAUGUAUUAAGCUUGUUUUCUAUAUCUUCUUAAAUUAUGAGCCAAUUACAUGCCUACCUGGUCGUAUUAUUUUACAAAUACAUGUCUAAAUGAUUCACUCGCAUCAAGGAUAUUGUUGAAGCUAAGAAAAUACUCAACUCUGCUGGGAAAAAAAUGCACUCACAAACCAUAAAUCAACCUCCACCGUGCUUCACUCCUGACCACCCUCAUAUUGGUUUCCAGUUUAUUCAGGCAUUAAACUAUCUUGUUUUUUACUGCCAAAUAUUUCACAUUUUGACUUAUCAAUCAAAUCAAAUACCUGCUGCCAUUUUGAAAAACAAUUCUAUAAAGAAAGGUGUAAUUUAGUCUUAUUGUCAUGCUAGGUGUUUUGGGAAAGAAAUUUUCCAUGAAGACUUUUCUGUCAGCUUUCAGGUGUUUGUACAACUGGAGAUCACCCCAAGUUUCCUUGACCAAUCACUGCAUCUACAAUCUUCAAAAUCCAAGCUUUUUUAAAUGAGAAGCGCCUCCAAAAACCCAAACGUGAAGUAUUUUCCUGGAAGACACAUUGCUGAAGUUGUAAAAAAUAAAAUAAAAUAAAAACUUGUGUCAGUUCCUACAUUGUGUUUGAUCUGACAUAAAAUUGUCUUCUACAUCCUACCCUUUGUAGCAGCUUAAUAAUAAAUUGACCAUCUUCCUGCCUGUGAAUAAGUUAGUUUACUGAGGGGAUUUAAAGAAAAAAGAAAAGCUUGCCCAACUUUGUUUAAUGGAGUUUGCUGUAACGUGAUGACGGAGCUAUUCCACCGAAGGUUAUCGACCCUCUCUCCUCAGAUGCCUCUGACACAGAACUAAUAUGCGUGAGACUGUCUCAAGGUCAUGCAUUUGCUUCUAAACUGCUUCCUUUCCAGCCCAAGAGAAGAAUGAAGACAAAGGACUCUUUCCUGUUAAUAAAUAAAAGAACUCUAUUUUAAUAAAGCUAAUCAAACAAAGUGUUAGUCAGUAAUAAGAUGUUGACCAAUCUGUGAAAUGACAAUGUUAUGAUUGGUAAGUUUCAAUGAGUAAUAUGACUUUAAUCUAGCUGCACUAGACACCUUGAUGACACGUAAUGUAAACGCAUGACACAUGGCUUUUACUCAUCCAAUCCAAGCCCCCACAAUGCCGCUCAGAAAAUGGUCCCAACCCGGAAGUAAGAAAAAUUGCAGUUCCACCCUCAUCCGCUGGGGGCUGGUGCCAGAAGCGAGCAAAUCCUCAUUGACUCCCAUGUUGAAAAUGCCGAUUUCACAGCAGAAAUAAACAUGUUUACAGCCUGGUGCCAAAACAUGUUUUUUGUCUAAAUUAUCUAGUUUAUACUCAUGACAACUCUGAGGGGGGUGAAUUUUUUUCUCACUCUUCUGUUUAAGUGUAUUGAAAGCCUAAAAUUCUGUAUAAUUAAUGAGCAUCCGACACACGUGACCGCCGCCUCAGACCCACGUGACCACAGAGCUAGCUCCGUGGAAAGGCCUCAGUACAGCCUCGGUCUGGCUUGGAAACUGCUCCGGCAUUUUGAGUCUCUGUGUUUGUGUAUUCUUCUUUGGAUAUUAUUGGUGCAAUUGUUGGACAAAAUGACUUGCAGUGGUAUUAAUUGCACUAAUAGAGCGUCCAAGGAGUCUCCACUUCAUUUUUUUCGGUAAGUUAAAAUCUAUAUUCGUAUUUUAUGUCACUGCUACCUUUAAACUAGCUGAGUUUACCGAAGUAGCUAGCUAACUAUCAGUUUAACAUGUAGCAUUUACUGUUUAACCAUGAAAUUUAAAUGUAAAAUACGGUAAAAUAAUUAAUAGGGCAUAUUUAGAUGGGUAAUAUGGUAAAAGAUCAAAAUGGGUUGAAAUAUGACGGAGCGCUAAGAGGGAGACUUCUGUGUCCAUUCUUCCACCCGGUAAUCCCCAGCGGUCAGGCCGGGCAGCCUGACCGAUCCGGCGCCUACUUGCUGCGCCUAGCUGCUGCGCGGUCUGACCGCUCGUGGAGUUUUUCAUGUCUGACUUUAACCGCAUCUAAUACUGUAUUAUGGCGUGAGCGCAACAGCGACAACUUAAUAUCGAUGUGUAAGCAGCCUGAGUGGUAGGGUGUUUUCAUCUGAACCCUUAAAAUCUCCAGCAGGCUUGGAGUGACACCUGUGUCCAUUCUUCCAUCCGGUAAUCCCCAGCGGUCAGGCCAGGCAGCCUGACCGGUGCGGCGGCUAGUUUCUGCGCGGGCUGACCGCUCGUGGAGCUCUCAGAGACAGAUCUGACCGGAGAAAUACUGCAGCUCGGUGAGAAGUCUAUAGGGCAUACAGCGUUUCCCUUAAAUCCCACCGCCACGCCGACAAGAUCCCAAGUUUCUUUGUUUUUGUUGGCGCUGUUUACCGAAGAAGCAGCGGGAACUAAUAUGUUGUCGCUUGUGAUCACAGCCGGCGGGUAGCAAGGAAGGACCUGAUUGGUGUCCAGAACCUGCUGAAGAAGCACCAGGCUCUGCAGGCUGAGAUCACAGGUCAUGAACCUCGCAUCAAGGCUGUCAGCCAGAAAGGAGAGACCAUGGUGGAAGAAGGUAGAGCAGGUCUGGUCCUGACAUGUUUCUGAGGUGUCUGCAGGUUCUGGCUCACUUUGUUUGGGUCCAGGUCACUUCGCUGGUUCAGAACCCUCGGCCCGUCAGAACAUUCUUAUCCACCACGUUCUAACACCAGACCUGUUAACCCGACAGCAACAAGUGGCUCCAACUGACGAUGAGACCGGGAAGGAGCUGGUUCUGGCUCUGUACGACUACCAGGAGAAGAGUCCUGGAGAGGUCACCAUGAAGAAGGGCGACAUCCUCACGCUGCUCAACAGCACCAACAAGGUUGUUUUACUUGAACUCGCGUCUUUAGCUGAAUGAGGAUGGAGAGACGGGUCGGACCUGGAGCAGGUCGAGGUCUUGCAGAAGAAGUUUGACGACUUCCAGAAGGACCUGAAGGCCAACGAGUCCCGCCUGAGGGACAUCAACAAGGUGGCAUCUGAACUGGAGUCAGAAGGUCUGAUGGCUGAGGAGGCUCCUAUGGUUCAGGCUCAGCAACAAGAACAUCUGGGUUCUGCUCCUGGAAAGGAUGAAGCCGACUCUAACCCCGGCUUUCCACCGGAGCCGUCAGCAGCACGUUACUACAGCAGCACGUCAUAGCUGCUGAUAGGAACCGCUGUGGUCAACAGAACCUUUUCCACUGGAGCCGUCAGCAGUGCGAGUCGGCCGCGUCUCAGGAGCAGCAUGUCGCGGCCUUUACGCGCCGGUUCUAUUUUCUACGCGCGACGCCUCUGAAACGGGUCAAGUUCGACAUUUUUGGGGAAGGAAAGACAGGAAAUCGGACGCGGAAAUGGAGCGAAGCUCCCGAGAUUUUCAGAAUAAAGAACAUACUGCCUUCUGGUUGCUUUACUUUUAAAAACAGUUACUAACUGUGCGGCCCCGUGAGAAGUUAUCACCUAGCUAGCGGUCUCCUUUGUUUUUCAGGUCCGUAUUGGCGAUUAUAAAAUGGACAGAACAUAAAACACAAACCAUGUUGUAGUUUUCUCCUGCUUGUUGUUGUGUUUACUGACGAAGUCACUCGUGUGACUUCGUGCUCGGUCGGUGACAGCUGCUCCCCUGCUGCUUCGCGUCACGUGGGAAGGGCCAAGCAGCAGCUUACGCGAGCAAGACGUGCUGCUGCAGUAACGUGCUGCUGACGGCUCCCGUGGAAACCCGGGGUAAGACGGCGUCACCCUAGAAGGUGAGUUCAUUCAGCUGAUCAGAGGUCACCUCUGAUGGCCGCAGUCACGGCCGACCGUGCUGACAUCACACAGGAAUUCAGGUGACCCGGCAGGCACCAGGUGCUGGUGAAAGUGGGGACAUGUCAGCUGGUUGCCAUGGCUACAGUUAUCUUUAUGCAUCUGUAUGACUGCUGACUGGUGUGUGUUUCCUGUGACCUUUGACCUCAGACCGUACGGUUGGGCGUUCAGACGACGGCUAACUUUAAUUCCAUCAAGGAGCUGAACAACCGCUGGCGCUCGCUGCAACAGCUGGCUGAAGACCGGAGCAACAUGCUGGGCAGCGCCCAUGAGGUGCAGCGCUUCCACAGAGAUGCUGAUGAGACCAAAGAGUGGAUCGAGGAGAAGAACCAGGCCCUGAACACAGACAACUACGGCCACAACCUGGCCAGCGUUCAGGCUCUGCAGCGUGAACAUGAAG